AACCCCUAGAAAAAAAAAAUCCUAAACCCGCCCCUCUCGAAGAGAACGGGAUCAUGGUGAGAAGGUUAGGUGAGAGAAAAAUAGAUGCAGAAUUCAGGGUAUUUAACCCAAAGUGGACAAACGAUUAUUUUUUUUGUUCAACGCAAAGAAAAGGCUGUCUCAUCUAUCAAGAGGCGGUGGCGGUAUUCAAAGAAUUCAAUCUGCGCAGACACUAUGAAUCCUGUCACAACGACAAAUACGAGAGCCUGCAAGGACAAAUGCGAGCAAACUGUCAAAACUAAAAAGUGGAAUGUUAGCUCAGCAAAAUACAUUUGUACACCAAGCUCAGCUGGACCAGUCGUCUGUCCGAGCUAGCUUCGUGUUGCUCAACUGAUAGCAAGCAGCGGUAAACCUUUUACUGAUGGAGAAGUGCACCAAACUAUGGAAGAGUUAGACCUGGACUGGUCAAAGCUGGCCAGCAACACAACUGACGAGGCUCCGUGUAUGGUGGGCGCAUCUCGGGGAGUUUAACCAACGCAUGAACCGGGAGACGGAAGAACGGGAUUUCAAAUUCACUGCCUAAUACACCAGCAAGCACUGUGCUGCAAAGUAUUGACUUGGGAUUCUGUCAUGAAGGUUGUGGUGUCAUGCAUAAACUUCAUCAGAGCAAAGUUGAUUAUUGUUUAUUUCAUAAAUGGGGUAAUUUAUUUCCUUGCUUUUUGUCUGUGAAGAACCUGUGGAGGGUUAUUUAGUUAUUAGUUAUUUCAUUAAUGGUCGUAUUAUGUAUUUCCUGACUUUUGUUCUGUGAAAAAUCCAGAAAAGGAUAUUUGAUUUUGUGUGGGUUUCUGGAAAACAAUAAAUUUUUACAUUUAGGUACUCUUGCAGUCACACUUUUUCUGUUACAAACUGAC